rnacentral:tRNA from 1 species
AUUUAAAUAGUUUAAUUAAAAUUUUGAUUUGUGGUAUCAAAGAUGUAGUUGUGUACUUUAAAUU